GAGAGAGAGAGAGAGAGAGAAUUAUAGAAGCCAUGAAGAGUUUUCUGGCAAAGAUGUGGUGUGCAAGAAAUAGGGAAUUGGAAGAUUUGUAAUGGAUACUGCUUGUGUUGUUUUGUUUAUUACAGGUUGUGCCGAUACGAAGGCAUGACUCUCCAACGGGUCACCUGUACAGCAAGAGCAAGAGCAAGACCGACAGCCCGCCUCGGCACCUCAGCCCGCCCCAAAGCUCCCUCCAUGGCCUCCUGCAGGGCUUGAGGUGUUCAGGCUCCCCACACUGCUGCCCCACGCAGUGCCAGGGCAGUGCCACACCUGUAAUCUGCGGCGCCAUGCCCGGUCUGAGGGCGCCGCUGGACUGGAGUUGCCGGAGCCAGUGUUGACGUCGGACAUGAUGCCACACUUUGAGGACGUAGCGAUCAUUCCUAACCCCGGGGAGCGCGCCGAGGCCAUGCGCCAGCUGAUCAACCGCCUGCCAACCGCCAACCGCCUGCUGCUACAAUACAUGUUCAAGCAUAUGGGACACAUCAUUGCAAGGCAUCUUGUCAGCCGUCCCAGCCUCUCGUCACCCUAUCCCCGCUGGACUCUGGGUAAAGACGUGACCAACCCCCAGCCUCCAGCCUCUUGUCACACCUCCAAGCCUUUCCCCGCUGGACAUUGCUUCGAGACGUGAUGAACAACAACAGCCUCCAGCAUUUGCCACACCUCCGAGCCUCUCUCCUCGUCAUUUGCCCGGUGGACCCUGGACGAGGAGGACGUGAGGAAGAGGAGGUGAAGAUGAAGACGAGGAAUAAGUGGUGGCUCGGGAUUUCUCCCCAGCCAGGCCUUUGUACAGCAAGAGCAAGAGGAAGACCGCCAGCCCGCCUCGGCCCCUCAGCCCGCCCCAAAGCUCCCUCCAUGGCCUCCUGCAGGGCUUGAGGUGUUCAGGCUCCCCACACUGCUGCCCCACGCAGUGCCAGGGCAGUGCCACACCUGUAAGCUGCGGCGCCAUGCCCGGUCUGAGAGCGCCGUUGGUCUGUUGUGCCGAUACGAAGGCAUGACUCUCCAACGGGUCACCUGUACAGCAAGAGCAAGAGCAGGACCGCCAGCCCGCCUCGGCCCCUCAGCCCUCCCCAAAGCUCCCUCCAUGGCCUCCUCCAGGGCUUGAAGUGGUCAGGCUCCUCACAGUGCUGCCCCACGCAGUGCCAGGGCAGUGCCACACCUGUAAUCUGCGGCGCCAUGCCCGGUCUGAGGGCGCCGCUGGACUGUUGUGCCGAUACGAAGGCAUGACUCUCCAACGGGUCACCUGUACAGCAAGAGCAAGAGCAAGACCGCCAGCCCGCCCCGACCCCUCAGCCCGCCCCAAAGCUCCCUCCAUGGCCUCCUGCAGGGCUUGAGGUGGUCAGGCUCCCCACAGUGCUGCCCCUCGCAGUGCCAGGGCAGUGCCACACCUGUAAGCUGCGGUGCCAUGCCCGGUCUGAGGGCGCCGCUGGCCUGCUCAAACUCCAUCCUGGAGCUCCAGAAGAGGCCCUCUGGACUGGGGCCCAAGCAGCGGUGGACUCUCAACAACAACAACAACAACAACUCCGUCAAGUAACCCAAGAGAGGAGGAAGAGCAUGGACAAUUUACAACAAUAUGCACAGACAACAACAAGAAGAAGAGGAGGAAGAAGAAGAAGAAGAUGAGGAGGAGGAAGAGAAUGGAAGAGAAGGACCAGCACACACCAUUGAGACAAGAGAAGGAAGAGGAAGAAAAAGAAGAUGAUGAAGAGGAAGAGGAGGAUGACUUUGAAGACCAGCAGACAGGCAGACAGACAGACAGACAUUGACACUACCAAACGAAGAAGAGGAGGAGGAGGAGGAAGAAGAAGACGAGGAACACAGGAGGAGCCCAUUGACACUACCAAACGAAGAAGAGGAGGAGGAGGAGGAAGAAGAAGACGAGGAACACAGGAGGAGCCCAUUGACACUACCAAACGAAGAAGAGGAGGAGGAGGAGGAAGAAGAAGACGAGGAACACAGGAGGAGCCCAUUGAGUGUGCAGUGUGCCACAGGCAGACCAAGACGCCAGAGAUGUCCGUUCAGCCAUUCAAUUCUGCCGAGGGAAAGAAAUCGUGUUAGUCAACUCUGAUGACUUGUACUUUUCUCUGUGGACUCUGCUGUAAGCCAGUCACGGAAGAUGUGAACUGUAUCUGUACUAUGAAGUCUUAUAAAUAAACUUAAGGGCCACACCUAUGACUUUAUCUUGCCCCAAACCCAUUUAGCUAAUCUCCGGACACUUUUUUAGAUAUAAUUGACUUAGGUAC